GGGGGGGGGGGGGGGGGGGGGGGGCGGGGGGGGGGGGGGGGGGGGGGCCCGGGGUGGGGGGUGGUCGGGUGGCGAGCGUGUGAGUGACACGUGGGUGAGCUGCCCCUGACUUUGGGCUAAGCCUGGGCACCUGGGGCUAGUCCUGGCUCGGACCAUGCUGUGGGUGUGGUGGUGGGCAGAUUAGUUUCUGUCCGGGAUGAGCUCGCGGCCUAUCAGCUUGUUGGUGGGGUAAUGGCCUACCAAGGCGUCGACGGGUAGCCGGCCUGAGAGGGUGGACGGCCACAUUGGGACUGAGAUACGGACCAGACUCCUACGGGAGGCAGCAGUGGGGAAUAUUGCACAAUGGGCGCAAGCCUGAUGCAGCGACGCCGCGUGGGGGAUGACGGCCUUCGGGUUGUAAACUCCUUUCAGCCAGGACGAAGCCCUUGUGGUGACGGUAGUGGUAGAAGAAGCACCGGCUAACUACGUG
rnacentral:rRNA from 1 species